rnacentral:rRNA from 1 species
CACGUAGGGUGCGAGCGUUGUCCGGAAUCACUGGGCGUAAAGGGCGCGUAGGCGGCUUGAUAAGCGUGCGGUGAAAGCCCGGGGCUCAACCCCGGGUCGGCCGUGCGAACUGUCGAGCUGGAGCACUGUAGAGGCAGGUGGAAUUCCGGGUGUAGCGGUGGAAUGCGUAGAGAUCCGGAAGAACACCGGUGGCGAAGGCGGCCUGCUGGGCAGUGGCUGACGCUGAGGCGCGACAGCGUGGGGAGCAAACAGG